rnacentral:rRNA from 1 species
UACGAAGGGGGCUAGCGUUGCUCGGAAUUACUGGGCGUAAAGCGCACGUAGGCGGAUUGUUAAGUCGGGGGUGAAAUCCUGGAGCUCAACUCCAGAACUGCCUUCGAUACUGGCGAUCUCGAGUUCGGGAGAGGUGAGUGGAACUGCGAGUGUAGAGGUGAAAUUCGUAGAUAUUCGCAAGAACACCAGUGGCGAAGGCGGCUCACUGGCCCGAUACUGACGCCGAGGCACGAAAGCGUGGGGAGCAAACAGG